GCUUGUCUCAAAGAUUAAGCCAUGCAUGUCUCAGCAUAAGCUUCAACACGGUGAAACUGCAAAUGGCUCAUUAAAGCAGUUACAAUUUAUUUGAUGGUCACUGUUACAUGGAUAACCGUGGUAAUUCUAGAGCUAAUACAUGCUGUUAAGCCUGACUUCUUGAAGGGCUGUAUUUAUUAGAUAACAGACCAAUAUUCCUCGUGUCUAUUGUGGUGACUCAUAGUAACUGAUCGGAUCGCACGGGCUUGCCCGCGACAAACCAUUCAAGUUUCUGCCCCAUCAGCUUUCGAUGGUAGUGUAUUGGACUACCAUGGCUUUUACGGGUAACGGAGGAUUAGGGUUCGAUUCCGGAGAGGGAGCCUGAGAAACGGCUACCACAUCUAAGGAAGGCAGCAGG
rnacentral:rRNA from 1 species